rnacentral:rRNA from 1 species
GACGAACCUUGCUAACGUUAUUCGGAAUUACUGGGCUUAAAGGGUGCGUAGGCGGUGCGGAAAGUCGGGUGUGAAAUCCCCCAGCUCAACUGGGGAAUUGCGCCUGAAACUACCGUGCUCGAGGAAGACAGAGGUACGCGGAACUUAGGGUGGAGCGGUGAAAUGCGUUGAUAUCCUAAGGAACACCGGUGGCGAAGGCGGGUCUCUGGACAGUUCCUGACGCUGAGGCACGAAGGCCAGGGGAGCAAACGGG